rnacentral:rRNA from 1 species
ACGGGGGGUGCGAGCGUUGUCCGGAAUCACUGGGCGUAAAGGGCGCGUAGGUGGUUUGAUAAGGGUGUGGUGAAAGCCCGGGGCUCAACCCCGGGUCUGCCGUGCCGACUGUCAAACUCGAGGGCUGUAGAGGCAGACGGAAUUCCGGGUGUAGUGGUGAAAUGCGUAGAGAUCCGGAGGAACACCAGUGGCGAAGGCGACACGCUGGGCCGUACCUGACGCUAAAGCGCGACAGCAUGGGGAGCAAACGGGA